rnacentral:rRNA from 1 species
CUCCUACGGGAGGCAGCAGUAGGGAAUAUUAGUAAUGGGCGAAAGCCUGAACUAGCAACACCGCGUGUGCGAAGAAGGCCUUCGGGUUGUAAAGCACUUUUUGAGAGGAUGAGGAAGGACGGUACUCUCAGAAUAAGUCUCGGCUAACUACGUGCCAGCAGCCGCGGUAACACGUAGGAGGCAAACGUUAUCCGGAUUUACUGGGCGUAAAGCGCGUGUAGGUGGUUUGGUAAGUAGAGCGUGAAAGCUCCUGGCUCAACUGGGAGAGGUCGUUCUAAACUGCCGGACUAGAGGAUGGUAGAGGGAGGUGGAAUUCCGGGUGUAGCGGUGGAAUGCGCAGAUAUCCGGAGGAACACCAGUGGCGAAAGCGGCCUCCUGGACCACUCCUGACACUCAGACGCGAAAGCUAGGGUAGCAAACGGGAUUAGAGACCCCGGUAGUCCUAGCCCUAAACGAUGUAGACUUGGCGUCGGUGGUUUAAUCACCAUCGGUGUCGAAGCUAACGCGAUAAGUCUACCGCCUGGGGACUACGGCCGCAAGGUUAAAACUCAAAGGAAUUGACGGGUCCCCGCACAAGCAGCGGAGCGUGUGGUUUAAUUCGUUGCUACACGAAGAACCUUACCUGGGGUUUGACAUAAAGG